UACGGAGGGUGCGAGCGUUGUCCGGAAUCACUGGGCGUAAAGGGCGCGUAGGCGGCCUGGUAAGUAGGGGGUGAAAUCCUGCGGCUUAACCGCAGGGCUGCCUUCUAAACUGUCAGGCUCGAGCACGGUAGAGGCAGAUGGAAUUCCCGGUGUAGCGGUGGAAUGCGUAGAGAUCGGGAAGAACAUCAGUGGCGAAGGCGGCCAUCUGGGACAACACUGACGCUGAGGCACGAAAGCGUGGGGAGCAAACAGG
rnacentral:rRNA from 1 species